GGGUCCUUAGCUCAAUCGGCAGAGCAGCGGACUUUUAAUCCGCGGGUUGUGGGUUCGAUUCCCACAGGACCCA
rnacentral:tRNA from 1 species